AUCUCGAUCUUUGUCCUCGAACUUCUCGUCGGAUAUAUGUGUGGGCCAAUGAUCAAGAUUUUGAGGUGAAUCUUAGCAGCAAGCAUCAUCUAGAUGUCUUGCUCUUUCUACACCAAAAUAGGCCUCGGCUGUGUGCAUCAUUUGGAUGUCUUGCUUCUUCUGCGAGAAAAGUCUCGUCACUAUAACCCCAAUUUAGAUCCCCUGGAGCC
rnacentral:lncRNA from 1 species